rnacentral:rRNA from 1 species
AGUGAACGCUGGCGGUAGGCCUAACACAUGCAAGUCGAACGGCAGCACAGUAAGAGCUUGCUCUUACGGGUGGCGAGUGGCGGACGGGUGAGGAAUACAUCGGAAUCUACUUUUUCGUGGGGGAUAACGUAGGGAAACUUACGCUAAUACCGCAUACGACCUACGGGGGAAAGCAGGGGAUCUUCGCACCUUGCGCGAUUGAAUGAGCCGAUGUCGGAUUAGCUAGUUGGCGGGGUAAAGGCCCACCAAGGCGACGAUCCGUAGCUGGUCUGAGAGGAUGAUCAGCCACACUGGAACUGAGACACGGUCCAGACUCCUACGGGAGGCAGCAGUGGGGAAUAUUGGACAAUGGGCGCAAGCCUGAUCCAGCCAUACCGCGUGGGUGAAGAAGGCCUUCGGGUUGUAAAGCCCUUUUGUUGGGAAAGAAAAGCAGCAGGUUAAUACCCCGCUGUUCUGACGGUACCCAAAGAAUAAGCACCGGCUAACUUCGUG